CCUGUCUGCAUGUGGCAGGUGCACCA
rnacentral:misc_RNA from 1 species